GACGAACGCUGGCGGCGUGCCUAAUACAUGCAAGUGGGACGCAAGGGAACACACUGUGCUUGCACACCGUGUUUUCUUGAGUCGCGAACGGGUGAGUAACGCGUAGGUAACCUGCCUAUUAGCGGGGGAUAACUAUUGGAAACGAUAGCUAAUACCGCAUAAUAUUAAUUAUUGCAUGAUAAUUGAUUGAAAGAUGCAAGCGCAUCACUAGUAGAUGGACUUGCGUUGUAUUAGCUAGUUGGUAAGGUAAGAGCUUACCAAGGCGACGAUACAUAGCCGACCUGAGAGGGUGAUCGGCCACACUGGGACUGAGACACGGCCCAGACUCCUACGGGAGGCAGCAGUAGGGAAUCUUCGGCAAUGGACGAAAGUCUGACCGAGCAACGCCGCGUGAGUGAAGAAGGUUUUCGGAUCGUAAAGC
rnacentral:rRNA from 1 species